CUUUUCUUAACAAUACUCAUUGGGUCCACAAGAACCUUGUCCACAAGGUUCAUAGGAGAGGAGAUAAUUGGGCUGCUAAAACAGUUGGGCCCGGUUUGGAUUUCAGCACAAGGGGAAGAAAUAGGCUGGGGCGCUUCAACACACGUGGCUGCAGGAGAGAGGGCCGCUGGAUUUUUAGGGUUUUUCGGUGGUUGCACCAAAGCAGAAUGUGGGAGGGAAAAAACAGGAUUUUGAAUGGAGAGUGGAGAUGUUGUCUUGGAUAACGUGGACGGCUGAGAUUGCACCGAGUGGGGAUAAGGAAGGCUAGUGGGGUUUUGGUGGAAUACAGCUGUAUUCUUGUUGGACUCCGCAUGCGUCUUGGGCAGUGCAAAAGGAUGGGGGGAAACGUGAAAGCAUGGUAAAGUAUCUGGCAGAAAAUCAUUAUGGGCCCCAUUAGCACGUGAAUCAGACCGUUGGGUCUUGAAAGGAGUAUCACUUAAUGGUACUUGCAAACUACUUACUCCCUCAUUACUUUCUCUUUGAGAGUUAAGAUUUCCAAAAGCCACAUUUGUGUUUCUCUCUUCUGAAACUCUUUUUCUCUCAAAAAUUUUUUCACCUUCUUUUUGCGUUUCAAAAACUCUCCCUUGUUUCUGAACUCCUUUGCCUACACUCUGAAGUUCUUGCGAACUCGUAUUCGUGACCUCGCCUGUUGAGGUUCCUGGAUCUUCAAAACAGAGCCUGGUAUCCUUUGGAAGGGGCCGAAACUGAUCAUUAUCAUUGUUGUUGAAAUAGGGUUUCAAAAGCGAGACAUGUACAACCGGAUGAAUCCUCGAUGACGACGGAAGGUCUAACAUGGCUGUAACUUCAACAAGACCAGAUCACCAAUUGCAAAGGAGGUGGCUAAUGAUUCGUCGUGGAUGGUGUCGGUCACAUAAGCUUGAAUGUUUGGGGGAUCCCUGCCGUAAAGUGCUUUGAACGGAGUCAUGUGGAUCGCCGUGUGGAAAGAAGUAUUAUACCAAAACUCUGCGAGGUGUAGGAAGGGAUACCAUUUACGUGGCUGGGCACUAGCAAAACA